GGCAGCACGGUCUAGUGAGCAUGAGACUGGGAGUCACAGGGCCUGGGUUCUAAUCCCAGUUCUGCCA
rnacentral:tRNA from 1 species